CUUUGGAGCUUCCACCUUGGCUUUGUUUCUGUAUCUGACUUGCUCUUUAUGAACCUUGGAACUUUCCUUCAACCAUGUCUACUGUCUGGCCCUCUUAGAUUGGAAGCCUUCCCAUUGACCUUCACCUUUUGGAUCACGGAACUGCCUUUUGACUAUGACUUCAGCCUUGCCCUCUUCUGGAUUGGAAACCUACUUGCCUACCUUUGGUUACUAACCUCGGAACUGGACUUGGAACUUGACUCUCAUCUAGCCCUCCUAAGGCAUCUUAUUUAAAAGAAUGGAAGCCAAAUGUCCCCUCUAUCAGCUGUUGGCUUGUCCCAGAUGUUUACAUAUACAGUAGUUGUUUAUUGGGGAGGGGGGAUAACAUCUAUAUAAGUAAAAAUUGCAAAGUCAUGUUUUGAUUUCUAAAGUUCACUUUAGAAAUGCUUAUCCAUUGUAAGCUGUAAUACACAUCUAUAAAAACAAUAUUUAUACAUUCUUAGUGUCUAGAAUUGUUUAACGAAUAUGUGAUACUACAGAUACCUAAAUUAAAUAAUGCAAGAACUCACAAAUUCAUUUACAGGUAACUGAGAUAGAAAUAUCUUGCACAAGACUAGAAAAAAUGGUAGGGACAAAUACAAAAUUAACAAGUGUAUGUAUGUUUUUGGUUUUUGGCAAGACAGGCUAGUUAGGGGUAGUGUGGUGUAAAAAAUUAAAAAUGUACAAACAAGGCAUGUUUAAGAUCUAGGAAGUAAAAUUCUAAUGCCUCAACAUCGUAUGCAAUAGAGUAGACCUUGGCAUUAAUCAUUAUACACAGUAUCACAAAGGAAAUGUACACUGAAACUGACAGUUUGAAAUGUUUAAUGAUUGAUUUGUAAGG